rnacentral:lncRNA from 1 species
CACUAGAAACCUCUCAUAGUCAGUCUGUUUAACAUCGAAGUGACAAAUAGUAGAAGACUCUCCUGGACUUGUGGGCAACCUAGACACAAGAUCUCAUAUUUCUCUAUCUCACUCGAGAGCUCCUCAAAUGUCCCAACUAUAGAUGGCCAGCAAGUGUUGAUAUUAUAAUCCACCGACUUACCAAAUUCGAUCUUUCUCUUUUUUCCUUUUGAGAAA